rnacentral:rRNA from 1 species
UACGUAGGUGGCAAGCGUUGUCCGGAUUUACUGGGCGUAAAGAGCGCGCAGGCGGUCGUUCAAGUCGCGUGUGAAAGCCCCCGGCUCAACUGGGGAGGGUCACGCGAUACUGAUCGACUCGAAGGCAGGAGAGGGUAGUGGAAUUCCCGGUGUAGUGGUGAAAUGCGUAGAUAUCGGGAGGAACACCAGUGGCGAAGGCGGCUGCCUGGGCCUGGCCUGACGCUGAGGCGCGAAAGCGUGGGGAGCAAGCCGG